rnacentral:rRNA from 1 species
UAUAACGGUCAAAGCGGAGGUGUAACAUCCGAUCCCAUCCCGAUCUCGGAAAUUAAGCCCUCCAGCGAUUCUUUAAGUACUGCUAUCUAGUGGGAACAAAGUGACGCCGUUAGUC